ensembl:lncRNA
UGUUGGCUGGGGGGAAAUAGACUAGAAUAGAAUUUCAUCUACAGCGAUGACGUCAUUCCGAAAUCAACGAACAGUUAGGCUACUUUGUCGCGUGUGGUGGGGACACUUCGUGAGAAACUCCAGUAGCCUAUUCAGAUUCAAAGGUAUUGAUAUGGAGACAGACAAUGUUGAGGCUGCUCCCAGUCCUCAGCUCCUGUUUCUGGGACAGAAGUCCACUAAACGCCUGCUGGAGGUUUAUGUGAAACGCAGUCUCAGCCUCAACGAUUCUGCAGCCAGGGGGCAACGGGUCAAACCUCGAAAAUGGAUAAUAGUGGACAACAAAGGCAACCGCAUCAGGAAAGCAUCUAGUGACAGCUCAACACAUCGUCUGUCGCGUGAAAUAUCACAAACUGACCAACCUAAGGAGCCAAGUUCAGACACAACCAGUGACUCUCAUCAAACAGAAUCUAACCAAAGGGAAAGAAAGCCUGGGACUCAUAGAAUUACCAAAAAACCAUCUAUACUGAGGAGCUUUUUAAGACUGUUCUCCAGGAAGAAUUAUGAAGUUCCAAACAGUUCAGUGCCAGACACUCCUGUGUCCAGUGGGUCUUUGGACAGCUGCUUUGAAGCAGAGCUGUGUCCCCCUGUCCCUAAGAUGUCCAGCGAAGACAAGGAAGGUAACACACUGUGUCCAACGAAGUCCAUCAAGAAGAGGCUCUCACUGAAGAAGCUCUCCUUCAGAUCUGAUUCAGUCAAAAGACAUACCAGCCUUGCUACUGCUGAUGUGGUGCGAGUACCAGAUGCGAUUGUCUGUGUGGAGCCUUCAAACACAUACUUUGAGAAAGUAUCUGAGGAGUUGGAGCGCAUUGUGAAAGAGCUGAAAGAAAGCCCAACAGAGGAUGAGGCACAUUGUGCUGCAACGCUAACUGAUCAGAGGCCUGCUAAAGACUCAGAGGAUGACAUUGUUGAGAGGAUGGUCAAUAUACUAAAACAACAAGGAGAUGAGAUUGAUGAGAAGAUCAGGAGGAACAGUAGUAUGAGUUCCUUCUUUCAGAAGCUCACCUACAACAACUUCCAGCUACUUGCCGAUCGCUAUGUGGCUGACAUCCCUGAUCCGCUACCUCAGAGGACCGCCACUCCCCCACAGCUUGUGAAGCUGGCCUUCACUCUGGAUUUCACGGCCAAGGUGGCUGGACUAUCUAGCCAAGCCGUUGGCCGCAUCAUGGGGUUUGGGAACCAGUACAUACAAAACCGCUUUACCCAGAUGACAAGUGUCAAUUGCCAGGUAAGCCAGGUCGUCUGGCUGAUGUUCAGUGUUUGUGCAGAAAAAAAAGAAGCUCAGAUUUUUGUACACAGUCCUGGGCCUGUAAAUUGGGAGCAAACUUAGUGGCUUGGACUGAGCCAUGAAGAAUCCCAGCCAAUCAAAACCGUGCUUCAGGAGCACGGAAUGGAGGGGUACAAUUUGAGCUAAAAAAUGGACAACCUUUCGUGAAACCAAAACCAAUCGCAGUCUGCAUCUUUAAACAGAUAACAAUCUUACUGCCAAAAGACACCAGUUAGUGUGUUGGCAAGUUUCUAUCAGUGUCAGCUGGGCUGUUGGUGGUGUUUGCAAGGUUUUUGCAUGUCUUUUAGGUAGUUAGCUUGCUAGUUUUGGAACAGAACUCCUUAUUGCUGCUUUAAUAGAUAAUUUGUCUUUGUAUAACAAGAACUUGAUUUUGAGUACCAAAAGUUAAUGUGGUAUAGGAAUGUUGUUGCAUGUGAUGCUUCCUCUUUCUACUCAUGUUUUUGGUCAUAGUGGGUGACAAUAAUGCUUCAGGUUUUCUCACCUGUCUAUUAUAUCAAUCACUCAAUUAAUUAAUCAGAAAACUAACAAACAAGAAAACACUUAUCUCAAAGCUGUGUAUAUUAAGCUUUUUUUUCUCGGUGCAGGCAUCUCAGAACAUGGAGGAUCUCGACCUGGUGGAUUAAGACUAAAACUUGUGAAUCAUGAUACCAACUACCCUUCUACUGCAAUGCUCAUGCCUUUGGAUAUUGCCUGAUAUUUAGGUAUACAUAACAGAUGUGAAGGUGCCAAAUAGUCUCGGUGUGUCCUGAAAUGCUGUAUAAUAGCAUUUAGAUAUUACCUGAUAUUUAGGUAUGCAUUACAAAUGUGAAUGUGCCAAAUAGUUUUUGUGUUGUCAAAUACUGUUUUUACAGUUGCCUUGAUGUUGCCCUCUGUCAGGACUCCGGCCUGGAUUCCUGACCUUUGGCUUCCCUGAUGAAAAGUUUGUUCAUUGUUCUGUUAUGUUUUUGUUUUGGCUCUGUCAUGUGUUUCUGUUUACAUUUUGUCUGCCAUGUUGUUCCAUAUGUUCUUGUCUCCACCCCUAACCUGUCAUGUCACCUCUUGUCAUUGGUAGUUUCCCCCUAUUUGCUGUGGUUACCUGUGUCUCAUUGAGUGUCUCGUUAUGUGUCAUGUUGGUCUGUUGCUACUUGUUUUUGUUCCCGUUGGUGUAUUUGUUGGCGUUGACUUUUUUCUCCAUCAGCUCCUUAUGUUUGAUUUUGCCUCCAUGAUUUUUGUUACCUUGGAUUUACCUUUUUGUAAGUAAAUCUAACUUUUGUUCUAUUCCUGCCAUCCUGUGUCGUGCCUUUGGGUCCUCUCCCCUGUGAAACCGUGACACCCUCACCAUAAUUUUAUUACUUAAUGUUUAAUUGGGAAACAUGGGAAAAUAAUACUGAGGAUUGCUUUGAAAAACCAUGGAAUUUAAAAAGGUUAUCAAACAGGUUUGGACUAAUUCAGGGUGUAUUCCCAUGCCUUGUGUGUACAGCAUAUGCAAUAUUGUCCUGUGUUCAUAUAUUUCUAUUUAUGGUGGGAACAAUCUGGUCCUGUUCCCAGUCCUCAAAUUCUAGAUGGUGGGUAAACUACAAAAAACAGAGACACUGUUACAACGUUGUGAUGUUUUCAUGCAACACUUUUUUUAAACGUUUAAAAAAGUAUAUAGGAGAGCUAAUGUGUAUGUUAAAACACUCAUUCAGAUUAUUAUUGAGUGUCUUGUCACAGGCCAAACAUGUUGGCAAAACCGCCACAGUUUGUCUUCUGUUUUCCAAAUAUCGUAGAGAGGCAUGGAAAUAGAAAAUAGCAAUCAAUUACUAGAAAUCCCAAGUGUGAAGUGCCCAUUCCCAGUCAAGUGGUGAGGCAUUUUAGCACAGGAGACACAAAGAGGGGGUUUGUUGUCAUAAUGCAAAACUAGUGUCAUAGGACUUACCACACAGCCUGUUCUUAAUAUGAUCUGACACAGGCAAACAGUGUUAAGUGGAACUGUGACAUUCAAGCAAUUCAUUUAAGAGCAAAACAUCUUAUUUAGCCAAAUAUAACUUAGAAAAGGAUAACUGUUUGACUUCAAAACAGUGCACAAGAUCAUGUUUUAUUUUAUGACCAGAUUGCAUGUGCACAAUGCUAACUUAACCUGUAAAACUGUAUUAUGUGCAUCGUGUGUACCUAACCUACUGUAGCAAUACUCCUUUAUCACGUCAUAUACAAAUGUUUUCUCACACACUUCAGUCACCUGCAUAAAAUAAAGUACCAAUGUCACAUAAUUUAAAAUGUUGC